GGGGGGUUGGCGCAAUGGUAGCGCGUUGGUUUUCGGCUCACCGGGAACAUUCUGGCUAAAGAAGCACCAAAGGUUGUGGGUUCGAUCCCCAUGCUCCUCG